rnacentral:rRNA from 1 species
CAGCAGCCGCGGUAAUGCGAAGGGUGCAAGCGUUAAUCGGAAUUACUGGGCGUAAAGCGUGCGUAGGCGGUGAGCUAAGUCUGCUGUGAAAUCCCCGGGCUCAACCUGGGAAUGGCAGUGGAUACUGGCUCGCUAGAGUGUGUCAGAGGAUGGUGGAAUUCCCGGUGUAGCGGUGAAAUGCGUAGAGAUCGGGAGGAACAUCAGUGGCGAAGGCGGCCAUCUGGGACAACACUGACGCUGAGGCACGAAAGCGUGGGGAGCAAACAGGAUUAGAUACCCCUGUAGUCCCUGUCUCUUAUAC